GUAUAGGGGCUGACGCCUGCCCGGUGCUGGAAGGUUAAGAGGAGUGCUUAGCUUCGGCGAAGGUACGAAUUCAAUCCCCAGUAAACGGCGGCCGUAACUAUAACGGUCCUAAGGUAGCGAAAUUCCUUGUCGGGUAAGUUCCUACCCGCACGAAAGGCGCAACGAUCUGGGCACUGUCUCAACGAGAGACUCGGUGAAAUUAUAGUACCUGUGAAGAUGCAGGUUACCCGCGACAGUACGGAAAGACCCCGUGGAGCUUUACUGCAACCUGAUAUGGCAAGUUUGUACCGCUUGUACAGGAUAGGUAGGAGCCGAAGAGACGUGUUUGCUAGCUUACGUGGAGGCAAUGGUGGGAUACUACCCUGGCUGAAUGAUCUUUCUAGCUCACCACCC
rnacentral:rRNA from 1 species